rnacentral:rRNA from 1 species
UGGGGAAUUUUGGACAAUGGGGGAAACCCUGAUCCAGCCAUCCCGCGUGUGCGAUGAAGGCCUUCGGGUUGUAAAGCACUUUUGGCAGGAAAGAAACGUCGCGGGUUAAUACCCCGCGAAACUGACGGUACCUGCAGAAUAAGCACCGGCUAACUACGUGCCAGCAGCCGCGGUAAUACGUAGGGUGCAAGCGUUAAUCGGAAUUACUGGGCGUAAAGCGUGCGCAGGCGGUUCGGAAAGAAAGAUGUGAAAUCCCAGAGCUUAACUUUGGAACUGCAUUUUUAACUACCGGGCUAGAGUGUGUCAGAGGGAGGUGGAAUUCCGCGUGUAGCAGUGAAAUGCGUAGAUAUGCGGAGGAACACCGAUGGCGAAGGCAGCCUCCUGGGAUAACACUGACGCUCAUGCACGAAAGCGUGGGGAGCAAACAGGAUUAGAUACCCUGGUAGUCCACGCCCUAAACGACGUCAACUAGCUGUUGGGGCCUUCGGGCCUUGGUAGCGCAGCUAACGCGUGAAGUUGACCGCCUGGGGAGUACGGUCGCAAGAUU